UACGUAGGGGGCUAGCGUUGCUCGGAAUUACUGGGCGUAAAGCGCACGUAGGCGGUUUGUUAAGUCGGAUGUGAAAUCCCUCGGCUCAACUGAGGAAGUGCAUCCGAAACUGGCAAGCUUGAGUACGAAAGAGGGUCGCGGAAUUCCCGGUGUAGAGGUGAAAUUCGUAGAUAUCGGGAGGAACACCGGUGGCGAAGGCGGCGACCUGGGUCGAUACUGACGCUGAGGUGCGAAAGCGUGGGGAGCAAACAGG
rnacentral:rRNA from 1 species